rnacentral:lncRNA from 12 species
UGUGGGGUAGGAGGCUCUCGGCUUGUCCCACCAAUCCUAAGAUCAUCCAUCAGAAUUCGGUGAUGUUAAUGCCUUCUAAGAAGUAUAUAUUUUAAGACCCGAGUAUUACCCAAUGGCCACUCCAGUCUCUGGAAUUCCUCUUCUGGCUUCUACGCAUAGGGCCGGUGGUUUGAUUCUCAAGGUCAUUACCUGAGGACUCUGCAGCCGUGAGAUCACUUGAGUCAAGCUGGAUGCUGAUUCAUCCCAAGGGAGCAAGUAAAUGGAUGUGGAUCCUACCUUUGGUUUUCUCAAUUCUGCUAAGGCCAGAGGAGCUCCGAGGCACUGAUUUGGGGGAACCUGGACAUUGUGGUUGUUCAAAGGACAACUAUGAAUCCCUUCUAUCAUCUUCUUCACUAUGGAUUUUAGAGAGGAUAAUUUACCAGCCAACUAAAUCGUUUUACUGGCCUAUCACACUUCUCAACCCGACAGAGAGCAAAAGUAAAUACAAUCAGUCUUGUGUUGCACCAUCGGAAAUUUAUGAUGACCCCAGGCAAGUAGCUUUCUGCAAGACUAAUUUAUGUAUAGUCACAUCUGUCACUGUGGCACUUGGACACGUCUUAGGUUUUUUUAUUAGUUAUUCCUGGUAACAACCCAGUGAGAUCACAAGGUAAGUUAGAUACACCCUUUCUUAAGAGGCCUCUGAAAUUCAUUAGAUGCCCACAUUUUGAGACUCAGCCUUCAAGUCAGGAGCAUGGUCCAGACCAUAGAUCAGAAUAAUCUCGAGUCCUAAGACUCAGAAUCUCUGCCAGGCCCAAAUUCAUUAUUCUGCUUAUUCAUUUCUUCCCCUACAAUAAACACUGUAGCCCAGAGAGGAAUUCA